rnacentral:rRNA from 1 species
GCGGAAGAUGUAACGGGGCUAAACCAUGCACCGAAGCUGCGGCAGCGACACUCAGGUGUUGUUGGGUAGGGGAGCGUUCUGUAAGCCUGCGAAGGUGGCCUGUGAGGGUUGCUGGAGGUAUCAGAAGUGCGAAUGCUGACAUAAGUAACGAUAAAGCGGGUGAAAAGCCCGCUCGCCGGAAGACCAAGGGUUCCUGUCCAACGUUAAUCGGGGCAGGGUGAGUCGACCCCUAAGGCGAGGCCGAAAGGCGUAGUCGAUGGGAAACGGGUUAAUAUUCCCGUACUUGGUGUUACUGCGAAGGGGGGACGGAGAAGGCUAUGUUGGCCGGGCGACGGUUGUCCCGGUUUAAGCGUGUAGGUGUGUGUUCCAGGUAAAUCCGGUUCACUUUAACACUGAGGCGUGACGACGAGGCACUACGGUGCUGAAGCAACAAAUGCCCUGCUUCCAGGAAAAGCCUCUAAGCAUCAGGUAACAUCAAAUCGUACCCCAAACCGACACAGGUGGUCAGGUAGAGAAUACCAAGGCGCUUGAGAGAACUCGGGUGAAGGAACUAGGCAAAAUGGUGCCGUAACUUCGGGAGAAGGCACGCUGACACGUAGGUGAAGUGAUUUACUCAUGGAGCUGAAGUCAGUCGAAGAUACCAGCUGGCUGCAACUGUUUAUUAAAAACACAGCACUGUGCAAACACGAAAGUGGACGUAUACGGUGUGACGCCUGCCCGGUGCCGGAAGGUUAAUUGAUGGGGUCAGCGCAAGCGAAGCUCCUGAUCGAAGCCCCGGUAAACGGCGGCCGUAACUAUAACGGUCCUAAGGUAGCGAAAUUCCUUGUCGGGUAAGUUCCGACCUGCACGAAUGGCGUAAUGAUGGCCAGGCUGUCUCCACCCGAGACUCAGUGAAAUUGAACUCGCUGUGAAGAUGCAGUGUACCCGCGGCAAGACGGAAAGACCCCGUGAACCUUUACUAUAGCUUGACACUGAACAUUGAGCCUUGAUGUGUAGGAUAGGUGGGAGGCUUUGAAGUGUGGACGCCAGUCUGCAUGGAGCCGACCUUGAAAUACCACCCUUUAAUGUUUGAUGUUCUAACGUGGACCCGUGAUCCGGGUUGCGGACAGUGUCUGGUGGGUAGUUUGACUGGGGCGGUCUCCUCCUAAAGAGUAACGGAGGAGCACGAAGGUUGGCUAAUCCUGGUCGGACAUCAGGAGGUUAGUGCAAUGGCAUAAGCCAGCUUGACUGCGAGCGUGACGGCGCGAGCAGGUGCGAAAGCAGGUCAUAGUGAUCCGGUGGUUCUGAAUGGAAGGGCCAUCGCUCAACGGAUAAAAGGUACUCCGGGGAUAACAGGCUGAUACCGCCCAAGAGUUCAUAUCGACGGCGGUGUUUGGCACCUCGAUGUCGGCUCAUCACAUCCUGGGGCUGAAGUAGGUCCCAAGGGUAUGGCUGUUCGCCAUUUAAAGUGGUACGCGAGCUGGGUUUAGAACGUCGUGAGACAGUUCGGUCCCUAUCUGCCGUGGGCGCUGGAGAACUGAGGGGGGCUGCUCCUAGUACGAGAGGACCGGAGUGGACGCAUCACUGGUGUUCGGGUUGUCAUGCCAAUGGCACUGCCCGGUAGCUAAAUGCGGAAGAGAUAAGUGCUGAAAGCAUCUAAGCACGAAACUUGCCCCGA